UAAGAAUGAGAUUAUUGGUAAAGAAGAAGACCUAGCUUGAGGUUGGAGAUGGAAGAAUUCUUGAGGAAGUAGCUUGAGUGGCCGGACCCUUGCGGC